AUGUAGCCACAAGCUCAGGAGCGCUGGCAGCCACCAGAGGUGGGAAGAGACAGGAAGGACACCCCCCCACCACCACCACCGCCCGGAGCCUUCAGAGGGAGCGCCACCCUGCCCACAUUAAGAUUUUGGACUUCUGGCCUCCAGACUAUGUGAGGAUAUAUUUCUGUUGUAGGCCGCCCAGUCCGUGGUGCUCCGUGACGGCAGCGCCAGCACCCCGGCAGACUAGCCUGGUGGGGACUCCAAUGCAGGGAGCUGUUUAGACAGCCUGGCUCAUCCCCAGACCCACUGUAAGGAGCCUGCAUUUUCACAGGAUCCCCCUGGGCUUCCCACUGAAGUUUGAGAAGAUGGCCCUGCAACCUGUUUUGAGCAAGUGACUUUUCAAAAACCAUUGAACGGACACAACUAGUAACCGGGAGACAACUUUAGAAAUCCUCUAGCUCAUUACCCGUCACACGGUCAACUCUCAAAUAAAGCUUAUUUAGAGAAAGUUUGUUGUUAUGAAUGAAAUGGAGUAACAUCAGGAACAAAGGAAGAGCUAAUCAAGCAGCUCUCCAGAACAAGAGAUCCUCAUGAUGACUUGGGGCCCACCUGGGUCAUCUGCAGGAGGCCUCUGCCAUAUAAGGUGACAAUCAGAUUCUGGGCCUGGGACGUGGAGGUCAUUGGGGUCACUGUUCAGUUUCCCCCUCGUUCACCUCUCCCAUGCCUGUAUCUCACUCCACCCCCCUCAUCCUCUGAAUGCAGUUCAAGCCACCUGCUGCCAGAAGCCCCCCCGGAUCUCCAGGCUGCACACUGGACACGUCUCUUCCUGCUCAGGUCCGGGCUGCUGAGCCCCCCAUCCCACUCACAUGCACCUGCAGCCUCCACCCCAACCACUGAGUUCAGAGUGGUGACCCUGCAUCUCACGGUUGGAUAUCCCACAGCAGGAACAGAAUCACUGUUGGAUGACAACAUGUCAUCAGAUAAAGGCAAGUCCUGCUUCUCUGGUGGGGAGGAUACAUUUCAAAUCCAGUGUCUUAAGGAGCAGAGUAUUUGCAACUAGAACCCCCAGGGGCACUGGGACGGGGCUUCAGUCCCAGCAGAGUACAGGGGCAGCCCGGCCGCCAAUAGAAACAAUGUCAUUAAAAGACACGUUGCAGAUCCGUGGGCCUACGAGAGGUACAGUGGUUUAGAUUUAGAAUAAUGGUAGAGAAGAGUUGCUAACGUAUCUGCCAGCCGGUUGUGCAUGAAGAUUCUGGGGGCCCUUGCUUCCUGUUCAGAUCCAGGAACCAGCCCUCCGUGUUCCUUGUCGAAUGCACCGAUCCUGGGGAGUUUCAUGCCUCCGACAGCAAGAAAAAGGCAGUGACACUGUUCUCACCCACAAGGCCGUGGCUCCUCGGAGUCUGUCUGCACUGAGACCUUUCUCGUCUGCAGUCGCCCAAGACCGGUCCCAUGAGGACCCGUGAUGGUGCGUCACCCACCUGACUCCCCUCCCCAGUGGUCCUGGCUCCAGGACUCUCUCAGAGGUUGUCACUCUGCUCUGUGAAUGAUACUCAUGUGGACAUCUGCCAGAGGAGGCACAAAACGAUGAAUGACAGCUUGUUUUCUGCUCGUGUUGAUUUUGCCAUUCUGAACUUCACAACGCGGACAGAGAGCCAUCUCGUCUCUGUCGGUGUCUCCUGAAGGAUUUGGGCUCCAUCUCUUUCACCGCUGACCGCACCUCUGCCUCCCGCACACUGCCACCGACAGGGACGAUGGCCGAGGAGCCGUGGGUAGAACAAGAAGAGGGGUCCCUUUCACACAAGGAGGGGCUGUCCCUCGGCAGCAUGGUCUGCGACUCACCUGGAAGAGCACGGGUUCAGAGUAUUGAUCAGGGGCAUUGGAAGGACCAUGGGUGUGUGGGACAAUGAACCAUCUGGAAAGCCCUUGGAGGAGGUGGGGUGGCCCUGGGCAGGACCCUCUGACAGGUGAUGCUGUAGACCAGAGAUGGCACCAGUCGGAAUGUGCUCAGGCGAAAGCUAACGUGUGGUCCCCACACAGCUCAAGCCCAAGGGCUGGCAGUGGACCAUCAGUAACCUGGAGUCCUCCACUAGUUUAGUGUCCGACAUGAAUGGGAGUCACCCCAAAACCAACACAUCAGCCUGCAAGAGAAAUACUAAGCUGGCCAUGAAGCCCCAGAACGAUCCCAUAGACUCAGGCCUGGAACUCCUUGGGGCAGCUGGUCAACCCCACGUGCCAGCUAGAAGGUUGGAUAGCACCCAGAGGGGGUAAACAGAGGCCAGGCCCCACACAGGACGCUGUCCAGGACUGAGGUACCCCAGCCAGAUGCCAGGACGCUCCUCCACCCCUUCCCUGCUGGCGAGGUCAGUUCCAGCC
rnacentral:lncRNA from 1 species